rnacentral:rRNA from 1 species
GACGUAGGGCGCAAGCGUUGUCCGGAUUUAUUGGGCGUAAAGAGCGUGUAGGCGGCCUGGAAGGUCAGCUGUGAAAACUCGAGGCUCAACCUCGAGACGUCGGUUGAAACCACCUGGCUAGAGUCCGGAAGAGGAGAGUGGAAUUCCCGGUGUAGCGGUGAAAUGCGCAGAUAUCGGGAAGAACACCCGUGGCGAAGGCGGCUCUCUGGGACGGUACUGACGCUGAGACGCGAAAGCGUGGGGAGCGAACAGG